CGGACGGGUGAGUAAUGUCUGGGAAACUGCCCGAUGGAGGGGGAUAACUGCUGGAAACGGUAGCUAAUACCGCAUAACGUCGCAAGACCAAAGAGGGGGACCUUCGGGCCUCUUGCCAUCGGAUGUGCCCAGAUGGGAUUAGCUAGUAGGUGGGGUAACGGCUCACCUAGGCGACAAUCCCUAGCUGGUCUGAGAGGAUGACCAGCCACACUGGAACUGAGACACGGUCCAG
rnacentral:rRNA from 1 species